rnacentral:rRNA from 1 species
AAAGGAAUUGACGGGGGCCCGCACAAGCAGUGGAGUAUGUGGUUUAAUUCGAAGCAACGCGAAGAACCUUACCAGGUAUUGACAUCCAACUAACGAAGCAGAGAUGCAUUAGGUGCCCUUCGGGGAAAGUUGAGACAGGUGGUGCAUGGUUGUCGUCAGCUCGUGUCGUGAGAUGUUGGGUUAAGUCCCGCAACGAGCGCAACCCUUAUUGUUAGUUGCUACGCAAGAGCACUCUAACGAGACUGCCGUUGACAAAACGGAGGAAGGUGGGGACGACGUCAAAUCAUCAUGCCCUUUAUGACCUGGGCUACACACGUACUACAAUGGCGCAAAACAGAGGGAAGCGAACCAGCGAUGGGGAGCGAAACGUAAAAAGGCGUCUCAGUUCGGAUUGCAGGCUGCAACUCGCCUGCAUGAAGUCGGAAUUGCUAGUAAUCGCGGAUCAGCAUGCCGCGGUGAAUACGUUCCCGGGCCUUGUACACACCGCCCGU